UUAUACCGUGAAACUGCGAAUGGCUCAUUAAAUCAGUUAUCGUUUAUUUGAUAGCACCUUACUACUUGGAUAACCGUGGUAAUUCUAGAGCUAAUACAUGCUAAAAACCCCGACUCCGGGAGGGGUGUAUUUAUUAGAUAAAAAACCAAUGCCCUCCGGGGCUCUUUGGUGAUUCAUGAUAACUUAACGGAUCGCAUGGCCUUGCGCCGGCGACGGUUCAUUCAAAUUUCUGCCCUAUCAACUUUCGAUGGUAAGGUCUUGGCUUACCAUGGUUUCAACGGGUAACGGGGAAUUAGGGUUCGAUUCCGGAGAGGGAGCCUGAGAAACGGCUACCACAUCCAAGGAAGGCAGCAGGCGCGCAAAUUACCCAAUCCCGACACGGGGAGGUAGUGACAAUAAAUACUGAUACAGGGCUCUUUUGGGUCUUGUAAUCGGAAUGAGUACAAUUUAAACCCCUUAACGAGGAACAAUUGGAGGGCAAGUCUGGUGCCAGCAGCCGCGGUAAUUCCAGCUCCAAUAGCGUAUAUUAAAGUUGUUGCAGUUAAAAAGCUCGUAGUUGAACCUUGGGCCUGGCUGGCCGGUCCGCCUCACCGCGUGUACUGGUCCGGCCGGGCCUUUCCUUCUGGAGAGCCGCAUGCCCUUCACUGGGUGUGCCGGGGAACCAGGACUUUUACUUUGAAAAAAUUAGAGUGUUCAAAGCAGGCCUUUGCUCGAAUACGUUAGCAUGGAAUAAUAGAAUAGGACGUGCGAUCCUAUUUUGUUGGUUUCUAGGACCGCCGUAAUGAUUAAUAGGGAUAGUCGGGGGCAUCAGUAUUCAAUUGUCAGAGGUGAAAUUCUUGGAUUUAUUGAAGACUAACUACUGCGAAAGCAUUUGCCAAGGAUGUUUUCAUUAAUCAGUGAACGAAAGUUAGGGGAUCGAAGACGAUCAGAUACCGUCGUAGUCUUAACCGUAAACUAUGCCGACUAGGGAUCGGGCGAUGUUUCUAUCUUGACUCGCUCGGCACCUUACGAGAAAUCAAAGUUUU
rnacentral:rRNA from 1 species